rnacentral:rRNA from 1 species
GGUGAACGCUGGCGGCGUGCCUAAUACAUGCCAGUCGAGCGAACAGACGAGGAGCUUGCUCCUCUGACGUUAGCGGCGGACGGGUGAGUAACACGUGGAUAACCUACCUAUAAGACUGGGAUAACUUCGGGAAACCGGAGCUAAUACCGGAUAAUAUAUUGAACCGCAUGGUUCAAUGGUGAAAGACGGUUUUGCUGUCACUUAUAGAUGGAUCCGCGCCGCAUUAGCUAGUUGGUAAGGUAACGGCUUACCAAGGCAACGAUGCGUAGCCGACCUGAGAGGGUGAUCGGCCACACUGGAACUGAGACACGGUCCAGACUCCUACGGGAGGCAGCAGUAGGGAAUCUUCCGCAAUGGGCGAAAGCCUGACGGAGCAACGCCGCGUGAGUGAUGAAGGUCUUCGGAUCGUAAAACUCUGUUAUUAGGGAAGAACAAAUGUGUAAGUAACUAUGCACGUCUUGACGGUACCUAAUCAGAAAGCCACGGCUAACUACGUG